CCUCCAGUUCUUGGCAUGCAUGGUAUUGUUUGGUUCUGUGCAUGUGACUUGUAUGGAGGCAGAAUAAGUGCAAACCCUGGUGUUCGGUCUUCGGUACCAGCAGUUUUCCCUCUGCUGGUUCUAGCUUUGCUCACCAGCACAUAU
rfam:Alligator mississippiensis ScZkoYb_20, whole genome shotgun sequence.